CCUACGGGGGGCUGCAGUGGGGAAUUUUGGACAAUGGGGGAAACCCUGAUCCAGCCAUUCCGCGUGAGUGAAGAAGGCCUUCGGGUUGUAAAGCUCUUUCGGCAGGAACGAAACGGUGAAGGCUAAUAUCCUUUGCUAAUGACGGUACCUGGAGAAGAAGCACCGGCUAACUACGUGCCAGCAGCCGCGGUAAUACGUAGGGUGCGAGCGUUAAUCGGAAUUACUGGGCGUAAUGCGUGCGACAGAUGUGAAAUCCCCGGGCGUAACCUGGGAACUGCGGUUGUGACUGCAAGACUCGAGUGUGGCAGAGGGGGGUGGAAUUCCACGUGUAGCAGUGAAAUGCGUAGAGAUGUGGAGGAACACCGAUGGCGAAGGCAGCCCCCUGGGUCAACACUGACGCUCAUGCACGAAAGCGUGGGUAGCAAACAGGAUUAGAUACCCCUGUAGUC
rnacentral:rRNA from 1 species